rnacentral:rRNA from 1 species
UACGUAGGUGGCAAGCGUUGUCCGGAAUUAUUGGGCGUAAAGCGCGCGCAGGCGGUUAUGUAAGUCUGAUGUUAAAGCCCGGGGCUCAACCUCGGUCCGCAUUGGAAACUGCGUAGCUUGAGUGCAGAAGAGGAAAGUGGUAUUCCACGUGUAGCGGUGAAAUGCGUAGAGAUGUGGAGGAACACCAGUGGCGAAGGCGACUUUCUGGUCUGUAACUGACGCUGAGGCGCGAAAGCGUGGGGGAGCAAACAGG